rnacentral:rRNA from 1 species
UACAGAGACUGCAAGCGUUAUUCGGAUUCACUGGGCGUAAAGGGUGCGCAGGCGGUUGGGUGAGUCAGAUGUGAAAUCCCGAGGCUCAACCUCGGAACUGCGUCUGAAACUACUCGACUAGAGUACUGGAGAGGGUAACGGAAUUCACGGUGUAGCAGUGAAAUGCGUAGAUAUCGUGAGGAACACCAGAGGCGAAGGCGGUUACCUGGACAGUUACUGACGCUCAGGCACGAAAGCAUGGGGAGCAAAAGGG